rnacentral:tRNA from 1 species
GGAGGCGUCGCAUAGUUGGUCUAGUGCGCCGGUUUCGAAAACCGGUAUGCCGCAAGGCAUCGUGAGUUCGAAUCUCACCGCCUCCGCCA